rnacentral:rRNA from 1 species
AUUGAACGCUGGCGGCAGGCCUAACACAUGCAAGUCGAGCGGAUGAGUGGAGCUUGCUCCAUGAUUCAGCGGCGGACGGGUGAGUAAUGCCUAGGAAUCUGCCUGGUAGUGGGGACAACGUUUCGAAAGGAACGCUAAUACCGCAUACGUCCUACGGGAGAAAGUGGGGGAUCUUCGGACCCCACGCUAUCAGAUGAGCCUAGGUCGGAUUAGCUAGUUGGGGAGGUAAAAGCUCACCAAGGCGACGAUCCGUAACUGGCCUGAGAGGAUGAUCGGUCACACUGGAACUGAGACACGGUCCAGACUCCUACGGGAGGCAGCAGUGGGGAAUAUUGGACAAUGGGCGAAAGCCUGAUCCAGCCAUGCCGCGUGUGUGAAGAAGGUCUUCGGAUUGUAAAGCACUUUAAGUUGGGAGGAAGGGCAGUAAGUUAAUACCUUGCUGUUUUGACGUUACCAACAGAAUAAGCACCGGCUAACUUCGUGCCAGCCGCCGCCGUAAAAC